UUUGCAUUGUAGUGUUCUCUAGAUGGCUCCGUGCAUGACACAAAACAAGAAUAAAUAUUAAAGUGCCAGUGUUAAAGAUUUUAAGUGAAUCUUGAAAAUCUGCUAGCCUUUAAGAGCAAACUUCUCUUCACCAAAGGAUGACUUAAAAUAAGAAAGGUAAUAAUGGUACGUCCCAGCUGUGUUUCAUUCUGGCUGUUUUCACAAACUUCCCUCUUCUCUUGGUGCUUCCUUUACCAAGUAUUUCAGAGAAAGCCGGUAUCUGUUCUGAACUAACACCUCACCCUGCAAAGACUUAAAGACUUCCCACUGGGUUCCAGCCGGCACACCCAACCUCUUCAGGACCUGAAUACAGCAGAGUGACUAUUCCAGUUUGAAAGGACAUUCAAGAGCACAAAAGACCAGUGACUUCUGGGGAUAUUUCCUGAUGUUCUUGGCACUUUUACAAUUUCUGCUGUUUUUCCUUUUUUACGUAAAUCCUCCCCUAGUAACCAGCAUGGGGUAUUUCUGAAGUUCAUUUAGUGCCAUUUUUCUGUAUUGUCCAACAGAUUGUUUCUAGUACCUUCUGAUGUGUGGCAGCUGUGUUUUAACAAUUCCAAGUAUACCAUAUGAAAGUAAUCAAAGACAUUAACACACUAGUGUCCGCAGCUCUAGGGGUAUUUCCUGCAUGUGGUACUGGUAGGCCAUGUGAAGUUGUACAUAAAUUACUUUGUUUUGUUUUUUUGGUUUGGGGUAUUUUUUUGCUUGUUUUGUUUUGUUCUUAGCAUGCUGAAGUGUUCUCUAAAUAUAUGUGAACUCAUCACAUGCUUGUAUUUGUGGAUCCAUGAUUCUGUGGACAUAGCUAGCUACAAAGAGCAUCAUACAAAAAUCAGCAUUCAAGUAUAAUGUUUACAGAGCAUAGAAUAUUUCACAUAUUAAUCUGUGCAAAGUGAUCUCAGAUUCCCAAAGGAGGAAAUAGUUAAAGUUUAGUGUUUUCUCUGAUAUAGUGUACCCUGGGUAGGGCAGUAAUGGCUAACUACAUAACAUCCUAAUGUAAGCAGUUAUUGGGAAAUGUUUCACAUACAGUAUUUUAUUAUAGUAAGAUUGCACUGUACUUAAAGUAAAUAUCCCUGGAUCCCCUCCAAAGCUGAAAGAAUGUAGUUAGGUUACAGAAUCUGCUCACUCAGCAAUCUGUCUUAUAAUAAAUUAGGGUUUUGAAAAAAGGGCUGUUUUGUUUAUCACAAAAGGUAGGGAGAAGUAAAGAGUAACCUGAAAAAAGUAUACUUUCAAAGUUUGUCAAUAAGGCAGUAGGUUGUACAAUCUUGAAAGAAUGGAUAAUCAUAUGUACAUUGUAUUACCUCACUGAUUGCAAUAUCGAUUAUAUCAUAUAAGCAAAGUAGCCAAGGAUGAAGCUUAGAAAUUAAAUAUCCAGAUGUGACAGGUGCCAUCAUAAGUCGUAUUUUAAGAUUUAAGUCUAGCUUAUCGUAUAUACAAUUUCAC
rnacentral:lncRNA from 1 species